UCACGGCAACCGAAACCAUCACCUCCAUCGUCUUACCUCUUCAGGUUUUUGGUCAUAACUUUGUUCCAGUGUUGUUGCUUUCCACUGGUCUUGUUUUAAAUAUUUUAUCAUUUUUCUAUUAUUUUUAGAUUAUAGAUGAAAGUGCUUUGGUUAUCUGUGGAAAUCUGAUCAGAUUUUCCAAAGCGCCUGCAGCAUGCGUGGUUUCAUUGUCUUAUCUUAUCAAAGACAAGGAAUUUAUUUUGAAUUCCCAUAUAGUGCAGGAUUAUAUUAAUCAAUUUUAUGGUUUUGUACAAAUCUAUACAGAUGCAAAAUACAGGCGAUCAAGUGGGUGUGGCAUUCAAUCUUCCAGAAUUGAAGAUAAAGGUUGGAAAAAUGCUCAAUAAUGGACUUUCAGUGUACACAGUGGAAAUGUUGGCAUUGUUGUUAGCUGUUCAGUGGGUGGAGGAAAACAAGCCAUUAUGGACAAUAAUCUGUUCAGACUCUAGUUCAUCAUUGGCCAGCUUGGAUAAGUCAUUCAGAUGCCAGACCAGACAUUUUAAUUGAGAUUUUACAGACAAUCCACAGAAUAAAAAUGAUGGGACUGAUAGUUAAAUUCGUACGGAUACCAGCACAUUAUGGUGUUAUUGGCAAUGAGGUGGCAGAUGAAAUUGCAAAGCAGGCUGCUAAAGGAGAUCAAGUUGAUUUAAAUGUCAGUAUUAGGAAAGCUGAAAUGAAGAGCAUGGUAAAACAGAAAACAAGGGAAAGAUGACAAAAGCGGAGAGAAGAGACAAUAUCUCGAUUCAGAUUUGGACACACUGGGUUUAACAGUUCACUGUUCAUUAUAGGGAAAAAUCAAAUGGGGAAAUGUAGUAGUGAAACUGAACAUGUUUUGUUCCAUUGUCAAAAUUAUCAGGAAGAGAAAAGAAAACUAAUUCAAAACCUGGAAUGCUUUUCUUUGAUUGGAGGGACCACACUGGAGGUGCAAGUCUGUUGCAUGCCGGUCUAUGCCAUUACAAAUGAGCUGUCCUCUGGACUUAACUGAGCUGGGAGGAAAAAAUACGGACCAGACUAAGCAAAAGAGGGCAUUUAAAGAGUGAAGGUCUCACAAUGGUUUCACCUGAAACCUCUGCCGAUAAUGACCCAUACCCUUUUUCACACCUUGAAAAGGGUAUGAAAAAGUCACCUUUCAUGUGAUGAGACACAUGGUCUAUAAUGUGUCAAAGAAACUCUUAAAGAGACUACUCCCACUACGGUUUAAGUACUUGGGACUGUCAACCAUUUGGUCUUAGAACUAAAGAAGCUUCUUGGAUGAAAGGUGAGACAUUUUCAAGAAAAUUAAAGAAGUCCAGUCGCUUUAUUUUCCAAGCCCUGUAGAUUUCUCUGAAAAUGGUCAGGUACAAGGUCUGGACUGAAAAUUUUGAAUAUUUAGUAUAAUAUUAUCUAAUAGCUAAUAUAAUAUUAGCUCAUCAUAAUUGGAUGCAGCAACUCACGGCUCUGAUUUUUAGUAAACUACAAAGUUGGUCUGUAACUGCUACACUUGGUGCUGUUACUUGGUAGCUGAGUAUUUCUUUCUGUGCCCCUAAUUAGUCUCACAGUGUUUCUAGGUG
ensembl:lncRNA